rnacentral:lncRNA from 1 species
GGUGUUUACGCAAACAUUUUGUCCGUUUUACUGCAAGGUAAAUAGAUCAAGGCGAAUAGAUGCUUAUGGACUGAUUCAAACCGAGGUGGAGAUAGAUAAGAAAUCAAGCAAGAAGGGCUAACACACCAAGGUACUUGAUUAGCACCUGGUGGCGCAUGCAACCCAAAGAUCUUCACCGCAGUGAAGGACAGCAGUGUGGUAGAAGGUGAAAAGGCAAGUGGUGGGGGUACUCCAACGUAUGUGUGUGUGAGGUAGAAUGGUCCAGUGAAAGGGAUGGCUCCUAUUUAUAGUGGGGUGAAUAGCUAUGUCGGUUUGAAGACACAUUACAUCUGGCAUGCAUGUGUGGUUAGUCUUGCAUGCAUACCUCCACCUGUGUCUCUUAUGGGCUGUACUAUGGACAGGUGUAAUUUGUUUGGCUGGCCCUUAGUUGGCAUUUACUUUAUGUGAAAGAAAUGAGACAAGGAUCUAUAAAAUAUAUGGAGGUUUGGAGAAGAAUUUGUUUUGCACGACUAAAUGCUAUUUGUUGUAAUAAUAAAUGUAGUUGUCUCUAUUAUUUUAAUUAAUGUUUUGGCAACGCCGUUGAAAUUAUCGUUAUCUAAUUUAUUUAUUAUAUAUGUAUAUAUUUUUACGGUUUUUACAUCCUUUCCCCCUUAGAGAAAAUUUCGUCCUCGAAAUUUGUUGAGUCGCACCUCGAAAAUGUAAGGAUAUUUUUCUCGGAGGUCAUCUUCUUUUUCCCAAGUCGCUUCUCGCACCGGAUGAUUUCCCCAUUGCACCUUGCAAUAUUUAAUUGUUUUACUCCUGAGUUUCUUUUCCUCGGUGUCCAGAAUACGACUAGGAUGCUCCUCAUAAGUUAGGUCCUUUCGGAGGGUCAACUCUUCCUCCGAGACUCUCAAACGGUGGCUUUACGCUCUUGCGUAAUUGAGAAACAUGAAAUACAUCAUGAACCCCUUGUAGGUGCGCUGGCAAUUCUAAUUUGUAUUCCACCGUCCCUUUUCUUUUUAAGAUCCGAUAGGGACCACUAUAUCGCGGACUUAGUUUUCCUUGUACUCCAAAGCGCUUGACCCCUUUAAUUGGUGAGACUUUUAAAUAAACAAAGUCUCCGGGUUGAUAUUGUAUAUCACGUCGUCUCUUGUCUACAUAACUCUUUUGCCGGCUUUGCGCCGUCUUGAGCCGCUCUCUAAUUAUGCGAACUUUUUCCUCGGUCUCUUGGACCAAGUCGGGUGCUAAGAGUUUCUUUUCUCCGGUUUCCACCCAACAUAUUGGGGUUCGGCAUCUUCGACCGUAUAAGGCCUCAAAUGGGGACAUACCAAUACUAGCUUGGUAGCUAUUGUUAUAAGCGAACUCUGCUAAGGGUAAGUGCUUGCUCCAUGAGUCACCAAAAUCUAGCACGCAAGCCCUUAGCAUGUCUUCUAUGAUUUGGUUCACCCUCUCGACUUGACCGCUAGUCUGGGGGUGGUAAGCGGUACUAAAAUCCAAUUUUGUUCCUAAUGCUUCUUGUAAUUUUUCCCAGAACUUGGAUGUAAACAUAGAUCCACGAUCUGACACUAUUCUGGAAGGUGUUCCAUGUAGAGCUACUAUCCUGUGGAUAUAUAGCUCAGCCAAUUUUUCUCUGGAGCAACCUGGGACUAAAGGGAUAAAAUGGGCAGAUUUAGUGAGUCGGUCAACCAUCACCCAUAUGAUCUCCUCACGUUUUCUUGUUUUGGGCAGUCCAAGAAAUAAAGUCCAUGUGGAUUUCCUCCCAUUUCCAUUGUGGAAUUUGGAGAGGUUGCAAUAAGCCUGGUGGUCGCUGGUGUUCUGCCUUGACUCUCUUACAAGUGUCACACUCGUCCACAUACCGAGCAAUUUCUCUUUUCAUAUUUCUCCACCAAAAUGUACCCUUGACAUCUCGGUACAUUUUUGUGCUACCAGGGUGUAUGGUGUACGGAGUGUUGUGUGCCUCCUGGAGUAUUAUCUGCUUAAUAUCCAAGAUAUUUGGCACACAUACUCGGGUUUUAUACCAAAGUGAUCCAUCUUCCGCUAUUUGGAAUUCUGAUGGUUGACCAUCUUGUAUUCUGCGCUUUUCCUCACAAAUAAACUCAUCUUUGGUUUGUUUUUCCUUGAUUUCGUCCAACAAAUUGGGUCUGAUUGCUAAUGUGGCUAGGAUUUUCUCAACCGGUUUAUGUAUGAAUUCAAUUCCCAUCAUCUCCAGCUCAUGUAUCAGAUGCUUAUCAUAGGUUGGCAUCUUGACAUGAUUGCAUGAGGUUUUUCGCUAAGGGCAUCUGCCACCACAUUAGCUUUUCCUGGGUGGUAGUUGACACUAAGGUCAUAAUCCUUAAUGAGUUCCAACCAUCGUCUUUGUCUCAUAUUCAAUUCCUUUUGCGUGAAGAUAUACUUGAGGCUUUUAUGGUCCGUGUAUAGUUCACAACGGUUUCCAUAAAGGUAGUGCCUCCACAUCGUCAACGCAAAUACAACGGCAGCUAACUCGAGGUCAUGGGUGGGGUAGUUUUGUUCAUGGGGCUUUAACUGGCGAGAGGCAUAGGCUAUGGCUCUCCCAUCUUGCAUUAACACACAUCCCAAACCAACUCUAGAGGCAUCGCAAUAUACUAUGAAUGCUUUGCCUGGUUCGGGUAGAGCCAAUACCGGAGCGGUUGUGAGCCGUUUCUUUAACUCCUGAAAACUUUGCUCACACUUGUCAUUCCAGUCAAAUGGAACUCCCUUCCUUAGUAAUUUGGUCAUAGGGGCUGCUUUCUGGGAGAAGCCUUCUAUGAACCUUCGAUAAUAUCCAGCUAAACCAAGGAAGCUACGAAUCUCUGUUACGUUGGUUGGGGAUUUCCAUGCCAACACUGCAUCCAUUUUAGCAGGAUCUACGGCUAUCCCUUUCCCUGAUAUAAUGUGUCCUAAGAAGGACACUUCUUCUAGCCAAAAUUCACACUUUUUGAAUUUGGCAUAGAGUUGUUUUUCCCUCAAGGUCUGUAGUACUAUCCGGAGGUGUUCAGCAUGUUCCUCAAUACUUCGAGAGUAUAUGAGGAUAUCAUUAAUGAACACUACCACAAACUUGUCUAAAUAGGGCAUGAGGACUAGGUUCAUCAGGUUCAUGAAAACUGCUGGUGCAUUUGUGAGCCCGAAGGGAACAACCAUGAAUUCAUGGUGACCAUAUCGGGUUAUGAAAGCAGUCUUAGGUAUAUCUUCUUCCUUUACUUUUAGUUGGUGGUACCCUGACCUGAGAUCUAUUUUUGAGAAUACAGUGGCUCCUUUCAAUUGGUCAAAUAGAUCAUCUAUCCGGGGUAGUGGGUACUUAUUCUUAAUGGUCGCCUCAUUCAAGGCUCGAUAAUCCACACAUAGCCUCAUACUUCCAUCCUUUUUCUUAACGAAUAAGACUGGUGCUGCCCAAGGUGACACACUUGGUCGAAUAAACCCCUUUUCUUCUAGUUCAUCCAAUUGUUUUCUUAAUUCCUUUAGUUCUUCCGCGAACAUACGGUAUGCUCGUUUUGAUAUGGGUGUCGUACCUGGGAUGAUAUCAAUAGUGCACUCUAUCUCCCUGUCUGGUGGCAUCCCGGGCAAUUCUUCCGGAAAUACGUCCAAAAAUUCUUGUACCACGGGUACAUCCUUAGCCUCCUUUUUGUCCAAAGUGGCUACUGAGGCUGGGUUUGAUUUCGCUCGGGUUCUUCUACUAUUAAAGGUUAUCCGUUUAUUUUCUGGGCUUCUCAAGGAUAUGGAUUUUUCUGCACAAUCCAUUCUUGCUCCAUGACUCGCUAACCAGUCCAUUCCAAGAAUAACAUCUAACCCUCUUAGGCUAAUGACAAAUAGGCUAGCAUUAAAGGUUAUGCCCUCAAUGCAAAUGGGACGGUUGUGGCAGACAUGCUCAACAAUUAUUGGGCCUCCGGGUGAAUCUACUUUUAUGGGUUUGGCUAGGGGGGUCCGGUCCAGAUUAUGCGUCUCAACAAAGCGUUGCGAUAUGAAAGAAUGUGUUGCUCCUGGGUCAAACAAUACUAGUCCUACUCCAGGAGGGAUUAGUAGGUUACCCGUCACUAUGUCUGAAGCCGACUCCACUUGUGCCACAUCCAUAUGUGCCAGGCGGAAUGGUCCACGUGUGAGGCUGCCACGACCACGCCCGCGGUUGGCAGUAGACGCAUUCCCGUGUACUUGGGCUGAAUUAGCCUGCCGCUUAUUUUGAGGUGGGACAGCUCCAUUUGUACCAGAUUGUGGUUGACUCUUGCUUGGGCACUGGUUUUUGUAGUGUCCCUUUUGCCCACAACCAAAACAAACAACACUCGCCUUUGGGCAAUCUCGAGCCAAGUGUGGUCCACUGCACACGUGACAUUUGAUAGGGGCUCUCGGAGGCAUAAAAGGUGGUCUAGGAGCUUGACGGAAAGGAGGACGGACGGGCCCGACCAUUGGCACGUGGACUAGGCCAACAGGACGAUUUCCACUUUUCACGGCAAACCUUGGGUCCAUCCUAGCUUUCUUCCUGCGCUCUUCCUCUACGGCGAUUUGCUGGUUCUCGAUUGUAAUGACUCGGUCUACUAGCUCCCGGAACUCAGUUAUUUUUAUAGGAGCUAUAAUAAGUUGUAUGGAUGGGUUCAAUCCUUCUAUGAACCGGUACACCUUCUUGGUCUCAGUGUUUGUGUCAUCUGGUGCAUAGCGGGAUAGUGAGUUAAACUCAUCUAGGUACUCUGCGAUGGUCUUAGACCCUUGCUUGAGGUUCAGGAAUUCCUUCCUCUUUAUUUCCAUCGCACUUUGCGGAACAUAGUUAUCUCGAAAUCUCCUCUUAAAUUCGUCCCAAGUAACUAUGUGGUUUUCGGGUAUGAUAAUUUGGACAUUUCUCCACCAUGUGGCAGCAGGACCAAUUAACUGAUGGGAUGCAUACCGAACUUUUUCUUGGUCCGUGCAUCCCACAGUGUUAAGUUUCAGCUCUAUGUCCAUCAACCAAUCAUCUGCAGCUAAUGGAUCUGUGGCGGUUGAAAAGGUUGGUGGUCUAGUCUUUUGGAAGUCUCCAAUCGUGACACCUUGUUCUGGGUUUUUAGUCAGUUGGCCUCUCAUCAUACCGAACAUCUGCUCCAUGAAUUUAUUCUGGUGUUCUAGAGAGUCUCGACGAGACUGCUCCAUCCAUUGAUACAUUAGAGAAAGUUGAUCGGAUCCUAGGGCAUGAUGGGGUAAUGGUGGAGGUGGAGGUAACGUCACUCUAGACGGCAAAUCUGCCAUGUUCCUUAGCGACUCGGGUGCUAAAUCUGAUGGGUUCCCAUUGUCUUCGAACGACUGACUACCAGAUGCCAUCGCUACCGAUCUGGUGGGCAAAGCAUAGGUUAUAACGAUAGCUACUACAUGUGAAAAUAUUUUAUUUAUUUGAUUAGAGGUGAGAUUUUAGCUCAAACAGUACACUUCACACUUCUUGUUUUGGAGCAUCAAUUUUAAACAGUGCACUUAACAGCGGCAUACUACAAAAUUUUGCGAUUUUUUUUUCAUGGCAGAGGCAAGAGAUUAAUCACAAGUCAAAAAUAGAGCCACUUGCACAUGCACAUGCACACACAAGUUCUUCACGUACUGGAUUAAAAGCAUGCAAUCAUCAAGUGUCUGACAUACAUCAGUUGAACUCAUGAAGUGCUAGGGAAAGGGUAGCAGCAUCAGCACAUAAUAUAUAUACUAGCCCAACACGUGAUAUACCAAGGCAUGUACUUGAAUGAAGAGAUCACCAGAAAGAAAUCUACCAUACAUCAGACGCCAUUAUGAGGCAGUGGCAACAAUGUGGCAACAACAUCACAUACAGUAUUCCAUCAUUCAAAGCAAGGAGCAUAAAAAGAACCAGAAUUUAAAAUGAAUAUGGAGGCAUGGCAUAUGCAUCACACGAGAUCAUCUAGUAAUAGAAUAUCAGUACAUCCAUAAGUCCACCAGCCCACAUGGAUACAUCACAUAACAUAGUAGCAACACCACACAUGACUCUAUGUCGUGCAUCAUCAGGCUACCACGGCUAUCUACAUGUGUACCUGGAACAAAAGUAUACCUGCCGACCUAUCUGUCCGUCGGAACUAGUCUGACUAACUACGGCUGUGCAAACUCUGGAAGGGUAGCUACGGCUACAAGACCUUUCCAGAUAUGUACAAGAUCCAAAAGGACAGCCUCCAUGCAUCUGCCUAAACAUCUAAUAAGUGGCGGAACUAACUCUGGGAGGAGUAGCUAUCUAGCACGAUGCUACAACCUUGCCAGAAUACUAACUACUACCACUACUGGUAGCAAGUCAAUCCUCCCUGACAAGAGGACUAGGUGAAACGGUGAGGAGCAAGUCGGGGUCGAGGGCAGAAGUCGGUGCAGGCAGAGACACACUCGGUGCGGCAGCAUCAGACUCGGGUACGCUGAUGGUGCUAAGCGGGUACUCAGAAGGAGUGUGCUCAGAGGGUGUGACAUCGGAAGCGACACGAAGGUACUCCGGGGGCUGAGAAGACACCUGGCGGGAGUCGAGUGCUAGAAGCUCUGAGUAAGUGACGCCAAUCACUGAAAAGUCGGGGGUGCCAUCGGGAGAAGGUGGAGCAGGGUCAGUAGCUGGAGAACCUGGUGGAGUGUGGGGAGUGUGCUCUGGAGGUGGUGGAACUACAACGGAACUCAGAGUAGGAGCAACCUGAGAGGAAGGCUCGUCGGCGACAAGAGACUCCUGGUCAAUCGGGUACCCUACCCGGCCUGGAGAGGCAGAAGGUGAGCUGUCGAUCUGAAGAGGGUUGAGGGCCAUACCCGGAUGGGUGUAGUCCCUCAACGCAGUGGACAUCUCGCUGUUCGCCCGCUCAAGCUCGGAACAGCGCCUCUGAAGAGUGUCAACCUGAUCUAAUAGGUCCUGAACAAGCUGAGGUGCAGGUGGACGCUCGUACGGUGUGGAGGGACGCGAUACUGCACGAGAGGAGGAACCCCUGAUAACUCUAGGAGCUGGGUGGUCUGCACGAGUGGGUGGGACUGUCGGGUAAAGAGGUGGACGAGCGGCAGUCGAAGCUGGUGGUGGUAAAAAUGUGGGAGGUAUAACAGGAUGACGUGGUGAAAGUGGAGGGUAAGUGGAAGUGGACGCAAAAGGCGAAGGAGCGACAAUGGGCAUAGGUGUAGACGAACUCCUUGCCUCCUCUAGCUGAUGAGGCCACUCGCCUCUACCCACGUACUGAAGGAGAGGGUGGUAGGCGUGGAAAAGGUGUAAAGCGACAUCCCGUGCCGCACCCUGAAGUGCUGAAACAAAGUCGUAACGUGCAACACUGUACCUAGAAGGGACAUCUAAGCUCUCAGGAAUGUGCACUGUGACUAAGUACCCCGUGGAACACGGGUCGUGAAACACUGUGUAGUACGGUGCAAUCAACACACCCAGAAGACCAAGAAGCUCAACCAAGAACAGAGCAAAACCACCAUACUCAGCACCCGUACCAAACAUCCUACCACUCGUCAUCCUACAUUAAGCAAUUUAAGAAUUUAGUUAGUUAUAACACAGUGUAAAAUUAAUUUUACCAAGGACAGUAAAUAAAUAAUUAAACACAUUUUUCUUGCACAAUUGUGUGGUCUAAAUUAUUUAAUCUUCACUUGACUUGAGUCAUUUUUUUAAGAAAACUUUUAGUUUAUUUUAGGUAAGGAGAAAACCUAUCUUUCCUAGGGCUCAGACGGUCUCCAACCAAGUACAUGACUGUUUCCUUAACGGGGCUCUGAUACCACCUCUUCUAUGACGCCUCGUUACGUCCGAUAGAGUCAGGCGUAACGGAAGCCGUCACUUUAGAGUUGCGCCAGGAUCAGUUAAGGAGAACAGUAUCAUGUACAAGACGGUACAGCUGCCAUGAGUAGGCAAGCUUUUAUUACAUUGACACCUCAAGUGUCGACUAAACCUAAGCGACCAUGACGAUAGAUCGUCAUCUACUUCCAGUUACGAGCCUUCUAGACCAACCAUGGAGGGCAUCUACUCUUCAUAGCCUUGAUUGUCGACUUCCUCAUAAACAUACUCCACUUCAGAAUAACCGAAGUCAUUAAGAUGAUCAGACUCAUCAUAAGUACCAUUCUCUAUCGCCUCAGAGUUCUCAUAACUCUCUUGUUCUGAAAAAAAACAUAAGUGCAGCUGAGUACGUAUAAAAUACGUACUCCGCAAGUCGCCGGGAAAAGUGGAUGCAUGAGUUCUUUAAAGAGGAAAACUUUAUCGGCCACGGCUACAACCAGCGAGCCAUUAGCUCAAAAAUACUUUGUAGGUAAAAAUAUUUUCCCUUAACCCUUUUUGUUGGAAACCAAAUUUUAUUUAUAAAAUCUACUGGCGACAGAGCGACGUGGGAUCUUACAUCCUGUGUUAGAGGAAAACCCACACGACGCACUUCCAAACCCGGAAGCUGGGAGUGAUAUCACAUUUACUUUGAUCAGAGGUGUACUGCUUUGCCCAUAGCAUCACUUGGUCCAAGUCGUCCAUGCGCUACCCGUGCGCACGACUAGACCAAGGAACCAGAACCUUUGACCAGCCCGUACACUACCUCUGCUUUUCCACCUUGCCUUACUAAAGGCCCGCGGGUCGAGACCCCUGACCGGCGGUCCCGCCCUAGGGUGACUGUACCUACCCGGCUACAGCCACCUUCUCACCCAUGCAGAGGCAGCUACUUGGCAUGGGUAGUUGGUUCAGCCCGUCCCAUUCCAGGUCUAUGGUCAGUACGGUUUGCGCCGCUUUUAAAGUAAGCGCCAGUUGGUUGUGUCCUAAUGUGAUACCCUAUGUAGAGGAGCCCGCCAUCCAAGCCGACCCUCCCUGGGUUGCUUUCACCAAGAUGAGCUCCCCUACCCACCAAAUAUUUAUUUAUAUUGUAACCCUACCCGGGUCACAACUACUUAAUACAGAUGCUUCACCUGAUCUGGUCCAAUUGCCAAAUCAGUGGAUCCACCUGAUCCAAAUUUCAUUUUAUUUAUGAAAAAAAUUUAUUUUAUAUUCUUAUGCAAAAUUUUGGAAAUGACCCAUAGCCCGGAAAACAUUUAUCAAGACAUGGUCAAGGAGAUGACGACUUGCCGGAUAGUGCUUCGAUCAACUCGGAACCACCAGAUGUGGCUCCUACGGGUCCGAGAUCGACUCCUGGUAAUUAUUUCAGGAACAUGUUUAUAUUAUUAUUUAUCUUCCUAACUAAAAAUCUAACAUCCAGCAACACGGCCAUGUUGAGCAAGCCACAUGUAAUUAACUAAGUGGUGAUACUUCCUAGUGUUCCAUUGAGAGAUAAAAUGCAUUAAGCCAUCCAAAACAGAGUAGCAUGCACGUAUGUCAUCCAGUCCAGAGAAUGGUAAAAGAAAUGAUAAGUAAAAAGAACAGUAGCCUAGUACUGUACUACUAGUACUACGCGGGUUGAGCCCCAGCCCGAGUCUAAAAAGACUACUCAUCUUCUCUGCUGUCCCACGAACAGAACCAGCCCGCUCACCUCUCUCUCUUCCCCAAGAACAGAGCACGACCGCCGUCUCCUCGAUCUGCCCCGUCCGGGCAUCUCCGGCGACACGGCGGACACCUAUAGAUUCCCCUCGUCUCCCUCUACCAUUUCCCCCUAUUUAUUUGAUCCGCCGCCGCCAAAAACGUCGCCACCACUCAAUCCUAGCGCCGCCUGAUCCAGGUCCGGUGGGCUUGCCACCGGCUGCAGCGGCAACAACGUCUCCAUGCCUACAUCCUCCGCCAGCGCAGCCACACGCACGAGGCGUGCAGCCAUGGGCGUCGGGCGUGUGCGGCUUCACCGGCGCUGCUCGGUCGCCAUGGCUCUGCUGCUAACGGUGUGGACUAGCCACAUCCUACUGCUACUGCUGGUAAGUACUAAUCCUAAUUCCUUCUCCAUGAAGUGCUCCAAAUUUCACAACAAGUGUCUGCUAUAUGUGAACGUGGGUGUGCAUAUAUUGUUCAUUUUAUCUCAGGCCCUACUAUUCCCCUCUCAGCCAUAUUGCCUUCUUUCUCUUUGUUUAUCUCCAGGCCAUGAAAUUAAUCAAGAUUUAAUUUAUAGUGUGGUCAUGGUAUUGCUACUGAUUAGAUCUAAAUGUUGUUCCUAACUAGUGCUACUCAUCCUUAAACACCAUAUAGAAGUAAACAGUGGCAGUGAAACUCCAAAAAUAAUAAUUACUUGUGAGUAGAUUAUAAACAUCAAUCUCCCAGUUUGCUACAGAUUGGCAGGGAUUAAUAAAUAGGACAAGGUAGUAUACACAGGAAGGUUGAUCUUUUUGGAUACAUACAUACAUGUCUUAGCAAGUUACUAGUACCUAGGAUUUGAUUCUUGGCAUGUUAGAUCUAGUACAUACCACGGAUGUCAUUCACAUAAACUUUUACAAGCUUUUGCAAUUGAUCUAAUUAGUUUUGACUAACUUGGGUGUUUACGCAAACAUUUUGUUCAUUUUACUGCAAGGUAAAUAAAUCAAGACGAAUAGAUGCUUAUGGACUGAUUCAAACCGAGGUGGAGAUAGAUAAGAAAUCAAGCAAGAAGGGCUAACACAACAAGGUACUUGAUUAGUACCUGGUGGCGCAUGCAACCCAAAGAUCUUCACCGCAGUGAAGGACAGCAGUGUGGUAGAAGGUGAAAAGGCAAGUGGUGGGGGUACUCCAACGUAUGUGUGUGUGAGGUAGAAUGGUCCAGUGAAAGGGAUGGCUCUUAUUUAUAGUGGGGUGAAUAGCUAUGUCGGUUUGAAGACACAUUACAUUGGCAUGCAUGCGUGGUUAGUCUUGCAUGCAUACCUCCACUUGUGUCUCUUAUGGGUUAUACUAUGGACAGGUGUAAUUUGUUUGGCUGGCCCUUAGUUGGCAUUUACUUUAUGUGAAAGAAAUGAGACAAGGGUCUAUAAAAUAUAUGGAGGUUUGGAGAAGAAUUUGUUUUGCACGACUAAAUGCUAUUUGUUGUAAUAAUAAAUGUAGUUGUCUCUAUUAUUUUAACUAAUGUUUUGGCAACGCCGUUGAAAUUAUCGUUAUCUAAUUU